rnacentral:rRNA from 1 species
GACGAACGCUGGCGGCGUGCUUAACACAUGCAAGUCGAACGGAAAGGCCCCUUUGGGGGUCCUCGAGUGGCGAACGGGUGAGUAACACGUGAGUAACCUGCCCUUGACUUCGGGAUAACUUCAGGAAACUGGGGCUAAUACCGGAUAGGAAUCCUUGCUGCAUGGUGGGGGUUGGAAAGCUUCGGCGGUUUUGGAUGGACUCGCGGCUUAUCAGCUUGUUGGUGGGGUAGUGGCUUACCAAGGCUUUGACGGGUAGCCGGCCUGAGAGGGCGACCGGCCACAUUGGGACUGAGAUGCGGCCCAGACUCCUACGGGAGGCAGCAGUGGGGAAUAUUGCACAAUGGGCGGAAGCCUGAUGCAGCAACGCCGCGUGCGGGAUGACGGCCUUCGGGUUGUAAACCGCUUUCAGCAGGGGCGAAGCUUUUGUGACGGUACCUGCAGAAGAAGCACCGGCUAACUACGUG